GGCCUAUUAGCUCAGUUGGUUAGAGCGUCGUACUAAUAACGUGAAUGUCGAAGGUUCGAGACUUGCAUGUGCCA
rnacentral:tRNA from 1 species